GCCGGGUGUAGUGGCGGGAACCUGUAAUCCCAGCUACUCAGGAGGCUGAGGCAGAGAAUUGCUUGAAUCCAGGAGAUGGAGGUUGCAGUGAGCGGAGAUCAUGCCACUGCACUCCAGCCUGGAUGACAGAGCAAGACUCUGCCUCAA
ensembl:misc_RNA Metazoa_SRP Metazoan signal recognition particle RNA